rnacentral:rRNA from 2 species
GCAUAUCAAUAAGCGGAGGAAAAGAAACCAACAGGGAUUGCCUUAGUAACGGCGAGUGAAGCGGCAAAAGCUCAAAUUUGAAAUCUGGCACUUUCAGUGUCCGAGUUGUAAUUUGAAGAAGGUAACUUUGGAGUUGGCCCUUGUCUAUGUUCCUUGGAACAGGACGUCACAGAGGGUGAGAAUCCCGUGCGAUGAGGUGUCCAAUUCUAUGUAAAGUGCUUUCGAAGAGUCGAGUUGUUUGGGAAUGCAGCUCUAAGUGGGUGGUAAAUUCCAUCUAAAGCUAAAUAUUGGCGAGAGACCGAUAGCGAACAAGUACAGUGAUGGAAAGAUGAAAAGAACUUUGAAAAGAGAGUGAAAAAGUACGUGAAAUUGUUGAAAGGGAAGGGCUUGAGAUCAGACUCGGUAUUUUGCAAGCCUAUCCUUCGUGGAGAGGUUUAUUAGCAGCUUACCGGGCCAGCAUCGGUUUGGAUGGUAGGAUAAUGGCAUUGGAAUGUGGCUCCUCGGACAAUUAUAGCCUUUGUUGAUAC